rnacentral:rRNA from 1 species
AUUGAACGCUGGCGGCAGGCCUAACACAUGCAAGUCGAGCGGAUGAAGGGAGCUUGCUCCUGGAUUCAGCGGCGGACGGGUGAGUAAUGCCUAGGAAUCUGCCUGGUAGUGGGGGAUAACGUCCGGAAACGGGCGCUAAUACCGCAUACGUCCUGAGGGAGAAAGUGGGGGAUCUUCGGACCUCACGCUAUCAGAUGAGCCUAGGUCGGAUUAGCUAGUUGGUGGGGUAAAGGCCUACCAAGGCGACGAUCCGUAGCUGGUCUGAGAGGAUGAUCAGUCACACUGGAACUGAGACACGGUCCAGACUCCUACGGGAGGCAGCAGUGGGGAAUAUUGGACAAUGGGCGAAAGCCUGAUCCAGCCAUGCCGCGUGUGUGAAGAAGGUCUUCGGAUUGUAAAGCACUUUUAGUUGGGAGGAAGAGCAGUAAGUUAAUACCUUGCUGUUUUGACGUUACCAACAGAAUAAGCACCGGCUAACUUCGUG